rnacentral:rRNA from 3 species
CACGUAGGGGGCCAGCGUUGUCCGGAAUUACUGGGCGUAAAGCGCGCGCAGGCGGUCUAGUAAGCAGCGGGUGAAAUUCCGGGGCUCAACCCCGGCGCUGCUCGCUGAACUGCUAGACUAGAGUACGGGAGAGGGCAGUGGAAUUGCCGGUGUAGCGGUGGAAUGCGUAAAUAUCGGCAAGAACACCAGUGGCGAAGGCUGCUGCCUGGAACGUUACUGACGCUGAGGCGCGAAAGCUAGGGGAGCAAACGGG